GACGAACGCUGGCGGCGUGCUUAACACAUGCAAGUCGAGCGGUAAGGCCCUUUCGGGGUACGACGAGCGGCGAACGGGUGAGUAACACGUGGGUGACCUGCCCUCCAGCUCUGGGAUAAGCCUGGGAAACCGGGUCUAAUACCGGAUAUGACUCCAUGACGCAUGUUGUGGGGUGGAAAGCCUUGUGCGGCUGAGGAUGGGCCCGGCGGCCUAUCAGCUUGUUGGUGGGGUGAUGGCCUACCAAGGCGACGACGGGUAGCCGGCCUGAGAGGGCGACCGGCCACACUGGGACUGAGACACGGCCCAGACUCCUACGGGAGGCAGCAGUGGGGAAUCUUGCGCAAUGGGCGAAAGCCUGACGCAGCGACGCCGCGUGAGGGAUGACGGCCUGG
rnacentral:rRNA from 1 species